rnacentral:rRNA from 1 species
UGGGGAAUUUUGGACAAUGGGCGAAAGCCUGAUCCAGCAAUGCCGCGUGUGUGAAGAAGGCCUUCGGGUUGUAAAGCACUUUUGUCCGGAAAGAAAUCCUUGGCUCUAAUACAGUCGGGGGAUGACGGUACCGGAAGAAUAAGCACCGGCUAACUACGUGCCAGCAGCCGCGGUAAUACGUAGGGUGCAAGCGUUAAUCGGAAUUACUGGGCGUAAAGCGUGCGCAGGCGGUUUGCUAAGACCGAUGUGAAAUCCCCGGGCUCAACCUGGGAACUGCAUUGGUGACUGGCAGGCUAGAGUAUGGCAGAGGGGGGUAGAAUUCCACGUGUAGCAGUGAAAUGCGUAGAGAUGUGUAGGAAUACCGAUGGCGAAGGCAGCCCCCUGGGCCAAUACUGACGCUCAUGCACGAAAGCGUGGGGAGCAAAACAGGAUUAGAUACCCUGGUAGUCCACGCCCUAAAACGAUGUCAACUAGUUGUUGGGGAUUCAUUUCCUUAGUAACGUAGCUAACGCGUGAAGUUGACCGCCUGGGGAGUACGGUCGCAAGAUUAAAACUUAAAUGAAUUG